UGGGGUAUAGCCAAGUUGGUAAGGCAGCGGGUUUUGAUCCCGCCAUUCGUUGGUUCGAGUCCAGCUACCCCAGCCA
rnacentral:tRNA from 4 species